UUGCUAACUUUAGCAGCACAUAUACUAGGAUUGGAGAAAUACAGAGAAGAUUAAAACAGCUUCUAUGUAAACAUGCCAUGUAAAUUUGUGAAACUUUCCAUAUUAAA
ensembl:snRNA U6 U6 spliceosomal RNA